rnacentral:rRNA from 1 species
GACGAACGCUGGCGGCGUGCUUAACACAUGCAAGUCGAACGAUGAAGCUAGAGCUUGCUCUGGUGGAUUAGUUGCGAACGGGUGAGUAACACGUGAGUAACCUGCCCCGAACUCUGGGAUAACUGCUGGAAACGGUAGCUAAUACCGGAAAUGAGCAAUGAAGGCAUCUUCUGUUGGUGGAAAGAAUUUCGGUUCGGGAUGGACUCGCGGCCUAUCAGCUUGUUGGUGAGGUAACGGCUCACCAAGGCGACGACGGGUAGCCGGCCUGAGAGGGGGAUCGGCCACACUGGGACUGAGACACGGCCCAGACUCCUACGGGAGGCAGCAGUGGGGAAUAUUGCACAAUGGGCGCAAGCCUGAUGCAGCAACGCCGCGUGAGGGACGACGGCCUUCGGGUUGUAAACCUCUUUUAGUAGGGAAGAAGCGAAAGUGACGGUACCUGCAGAAAAAGCACCGGCUAACUACGUGCCAGCCGCCGCCGUAA